GCCAGGCAUGGUGGUGCAUGCCUGUAAUCCCAGAAACUGGGGAGGCUGAGGUAGGAGGAUUGCAAGUUCAAAGCUAGCCUCAGCAACUUAGCAAGGCUCUAAGCAACUUAGCAACACCCUGUCUCAA
rnacentral:sRNA from 1 species